GAUGAACGCUGGCGGCGUGCCUAAUACAUGCAAGUCGAGCGAACAGACGAGGAGCUUGCUCCUCUGACGUUAGCGGCGGACGGGUGAGUAACACGUGGAUAACCUACCUAUAAGACUGGGAUAACUUCGGGAAACCGGGGCUAAUACCGGAUAAUAUAUUGAACCGCAUGGUUCAAUAGUGAAAGACGGUUUUGCUGUCACUUAUAGAUGGAUCCGCGCCGCAUUAGCUAGUUGGUAAGGUAACGGCUUACCAAGGCGACGAUGCGUAGCCGACCUGAGAGGGUGGUCGGCCACACUGGAACUGAGACACGGUCCAGACUCCUACGGGAGGCAGCAGUAGGGAAUCUUCCGCAAUGGGCGAAAGCCUGACGGAGCAGCGCCGCGUGAGUGAUGAAGGUCUUCGGAUCGUGAAGCUCUGUUAGUAGGGAAGACCAAAUGUGUAAGUAACUAUGCACGUCUUGACGGUACCUAAACAGAAAGCCACGGCUAACUACGUG
rnacentral:rRNA from 1 species